rnacentral:tRNA from 1 species
UCCUGAGUAGGAUAAUUGGUAAUUCAGAAAAAAUUGAACAAUUGAAAUAUGCGGGUUCGAAUCCCGCCUCAGGAG